rnacentral:rRNA from 1 species
UACGUAGGGUGCGAGCGUUGUCCGGAAUUAUUGGGCGUAAAGAGCUCGUAGGCGGUGUGUCGCGUCGGCCGUGAAAACCUGCAGCUUAACUGUGGGCGUGCGGUCGAUACGGGCAUCACUGGAGUUCGGCAGGGGAGACUGGAAUUCCUGGUGUAGCGGUGAAAUGCGCAGAUAUCAGGAAGAACACCGGUGGCGAAGGCGGCAUUCUGGACCGACAUUGACGCUGAGGAGCGAAAGCCAGGGGAGCAAACGGG